rnacentral:rRNA from 1 species
GACGAACGCUGGCGGUGUGCUUAACACAUGCAAGUCGAACGAUGAAGCCGGAGCUUGCUCUGGUGAAUUAGUGGCGAACGGGUGAGUAACACGUGAGUAACCUGCCCUUGACUCUGGGAUAACUGCGGGAAACUGUAGCUAAUACCGGAUACGACCCUCGGAGGCAUCUCCUGGGGGUGGAAAGAAUUUCGGUCAAGGAUGGACUCGCGGCCUAUCAGCUAGUUGGUGAGGUAAAGGCUCACCAAGGCGACGACGGGUAGCCGGCCUGAGAGGGUGACCGGCCACACUGGGACUGAGACACAGCCCAGAGUCCUACGGGAGGCAGCAGUGGGGAAUAUUGCACAAUGGGCGCAAGCAUGAUGCAGCAACGCCGCGUGAGGGAUGACGGCCUUCGGAUUGUAAACCUCUUUUAGCAGGGAAGAAGCGAAAGUGACGGUACCUGCAGAAAAAGCACCGGCUAACUACGUGCCAGCCGCCGCCGUAA